UUAAAUUGAAGAGUUUGAUCAUGGCUCAGAUUGAACGCUGGCGGCAGGCCUAACACAUGCAAGUCGAACGGUAACAGGAAGAAGCUUGCUUCUUUGCUGACGAGUGGCGGACGGGUGAGUAAUGUCUGGGAAACUGCCUGAUGGAGGGGGAUAACUACUGGAAACGGUAGCUAAUACCGCAUAACGUCGCAAGACCAAAGAGGGGGACCUUCGGGCCUCUUGCCAUCGGAUGUGCCCAGAUGGGAUUAGCUAGUAGGUGGGGUAACGGCUCACCUAGGCGACGAUCCCUAGCUGGUCUGAGAGGAUGACCAGCCACACUGGAACUGAGACACGGUCCAGACUCCUACGGGAGGCAGCAGUGGGGAAUAUUGCACAAUGGGCGCAAGCCUGAUGCAGCCAUGCCGCGUGUAUG
rnacentral:rRNA from 1 species